GACGAACGCUGGCGGCGUGCUUAACACAUGCAAGUCGAACGGAAAGGCCCUGCUUUUGUGGGGUGCUCGAUUGGCGAACGGGUGAGUAACACGUGAGUAACCUGCCCUUGACUUUGGGAUAACUUCAGGAAACUGGGGCUAAUACCGGAUAGGAGCUCCUGCUGCAUGGUGGGGGUUGGAAAGUUUCGGCGGUUGGGGAUGGACUCGCGGCUUAUCAGCUUGUUGGUGGGGUAGUGGCUUACCAAGGCUUUGACGGGUAGCCGGCCUGAGAGGGUGACCGGCCACAUUGGGACUGAGAUAGGGCGCAGACUCCUACGGGAGGCAGCAGUGGGGAAUAUUGCACAAUGGGCGGAAGCCUGAUGCAGCAACGCCGCGUGCGGGAUGACGGCCUUCGGGUUGUAAACCGCUUUCGCCUGUGACGAAGCGUGAGUGACGGUAAUGGGUAAAGAAGCACCGGCUAACUACGUG
rnacentral:rRNA from 1 species